rnacentral:rRNA from 1 species
AGGAAUAUUGGUCAAUGGGCGAGAGCCUGAACCAGCCAAGUAGCGUGAAGGAUGACUGCCCUAUGGGUUGUAAACUUCUUUUAUAAAGGAAUAAAGUCGGGUAUGGAUACCCGUUUGCAUGUACUUUAUGAAUAAGGAUCGGCUAACUCCGUGCCAGCAGCCGCGGUAAUACGGAGGAUCCGAGCGUUAUCCGGAUUUAUUGGGUUUAAAGGGAGCGUAGGCGGGUGCUUAAGUCAGUUGUGAAAGUUUGCGGCUCAACCGUAAAAUUGCAGUUGAUACUGGGCGCCUUGAGUGCAGCAUAGGUAGGCGGAAUUCGUGGUGUAGCGGUGAAAUGCUUAGAUAUCACGAAGAACUCCGAUUGCGAAGGCAGCUUACUGGACUGUAACUGACGCUGAUGCUCGAAAGUGUGGGUAUCAAACAGGAUUAGAUACCCUGGUAGUCCACACAGUAAACGAUGGAUACUCGCUGUUGGCGAUAGACUGUCAGCGGCUUAGCGAAAGCGUUAGGUAUCCCACCUGGGGAGUACGCCGGCAACGGUGAAACUCAAAGGAAUUGACGGGGGCCCGCACAAGCGGAGGAACAUGUGGUUUAAUUCGAUGAUACGCGAGGAACCUUACCCGGGCUUGAAUUGCAGACGAAUUGCUUGGAAACAGGCAAGCCGCAAGGCGUCUGUGAAGGUGCUGCAUGGUUGUCGUCAGCUCGUGCCGUGAGGUGUCGGCUUAAGUGCCAUAACGAGCGCAACCCUCGUGUCCAGUUACUAGCAGGUUAUGCUGAGGACUCUGGACAGACUGCCAUCGUAAGAUGUGAGGAAGGUGGGGAUGACGUCAAAUCAGCACGGCCCUUACGUCCGGGGCUACACACGUGUUACAAUGGGGGGUACAGCAGGCAGCUACCGGGCGACCGGAUGCCAAUCCCGAAAGCCUCUCUCAGUUCGGACUGGAGUCUGCAACCCGACUCCACGAAGCUGGAUUCGCUAGUAAUCGCGCAUCAGCCACGGCGCGGUGAAUACGUUCCCG